rnacentral:rRNA from 1 species
UACGGGGGGGCAAGCGUUGUUCGGAAUUACUGGGCGUAAAGGGCUCGUAGGUGGCCAACUAAGUCAGACGUGAAAUCCCUCAGCUUAACUGGGGAACUGCGUCUGAUACUGGAUGGCUUGAGUUCGGGAGAGGUGAGUGGAACUGCGAGUGUAGAGGUGAAAUUCGUAGAUAUUCGCAAGAACACCAGUGGCGAAGGCGGCUCACUGGCCCGGUACUGACGCUGAGGUGCGAAAGCGUGGGGAGCAAACAGG